CGCUCUCCACCGGCAGGUCUUUACGUCGCUUCUCUCGAGAGCCUAAAGCUGCCAGUUGAAGAGCUGA
rnacentral:pre_miRNA from 1 species